rnacentral:rRNA from 1 species
GACGAACGCUGGCGGCGUGCUUAACACAUGCAAGUCGAACGGAAAGGCCUGCUUUUGUGGGGUGCUCGAGUGGCGAACGGGUGAGUAACACGUGAGUAACCUGCCCUUGACUUUGGGAUAACUUCAGGAAACUGGGGCUAAUACCGGAUAGGAGCUCCUGCUGCAUGGUGGGGGUUGGAAAGUUUCGGCGGUUGGGGAUGCACUCGCGGCUUAUCAGCUUGUUGGUGGGGUAGUGGCUUACCAAGGCUUUGACGGGUAGCCGGCCUGAGAGGGUGACCGGCCACAUUGGGACUGAGAUACGGCCCAGACUCCUACGGGAGGCAGCAGUGGGGAAUAUUGCACAAUGGGCGGAAGCCUGAUGCAGCAACGCCGCGUGCGGGAUGACGGCCUUCGGGUUGUAAACCGCUUUCGCCUGUGACGAAGCGUGAGUGACGGUAAUGGGUAAAGAAGCACCGGCUAACUACGUG